AUGGAAAUUAUUUGGUGUAAAAUAACCAAAUUUGGUAUUUGGUUUAAAAAAAACAAGCAUAAAGCCUGUUCACCUCUCACCUAAUCCCCCUGAAAAUAAAUACCAGGAUGGAGCCUGUAGAGCUCUAUCGUUUCAGGAGACGGUAUUCAAAAUACGUACUUUAAAACUCCCACCCGGUACCUUAUUCCAUUCAGCUCAGGGCUUACAGAAGUUAUUUAUGGAAGGUUUGGGGAAGGGUGAAUAAAAGGUUACGUAGAUGUGAUUAACUUGGUAUUAACGCAAAAAAGAACCCCUCUAAUCUAGGAGCUUUGACUAUUUCACAAUGAGCUAAUAGGCAUUGGGGUGAAUUUAUGUAGCAAAUUGCUGUCUGCUGUAUUCAAAUUAUUCCCUGAGCUCUGACUCAUUCAGAAAGUACCAAAUAUCACAGAGACACACAAUUACCAUGCUUAAUUAAUGUUUGCAACCGAAAAGAGUAAGGUUGAAAUCUUUAAUAUCAUUGUAGAUAUCGAAGAACUGAAAUUGACUGAUUAUUAUCUUGAGAUUAAUAUAUUUUCCCCAAGCCAUACCCUCGGGUCAAAGGACCGAGUAUUAAAACUAUUUGAAAAAUUCACUACAAUAAUUGCUUUAGGGGCUAAUUUUUUUUUUUUUAAUGUCUUGCUUCCUUAUGCCUGCACUACUGAUUGUUAUAGCCUGCACACUUCACCCAUUAAGUGGUAAUUCAGAGUGACAACUACAUUGAAAUGAAGCAAGUUAGUUAAUCACCAUGAAACUGUUCCUGAAAUACCCUGGCCAAGUACUCCCGAAUCACUGGAGGCCUCUGUUACCGCAUUUUCUACUGAAGUGAGAUUUUCCUGCACGAGGCUGUAAAUAUUUUUAUGGGACAUACAGGACGGCAGAGGGCUGAAAUUUGGUUGGACUUGGUAGCAGAGAAUCCAGAAUCUUCUACGGAGCCACCGUAACCAGCACUGUGCAGAGCCCUCAGGGAUGUCCUGCAGGCGUGUCAGGGAAGCUGCUGACAAGCCGAGAGUCUGGGUAGGGCUACGGCACUUCUAAUAUGACUUGAUUUUCCCUAAAGCGGGACUUCCAGUGACAAACAGCUCUGUCAGAAAACACAUGCCCAGUCUUGUCUGCCCAUUUUGGCUAGCCUGCCAGGACUGCUGGGAGUAGAAGGUAGGCUGUGCCACGGUUGGGGGGGGGUCUGUUCCCCCUCUGGGGAAGUCCGAGUCGGGGCUCGUGGUGGACACCAAGCUUGUGAACAAGUUCACCUUUCCAAGAGACACAGAAGCCAGGCAAGGGGCUUGGACGCGACUCUGAGACCUGCCACGGCCCCUGCCUGGCUUGCGGGUUCACUGAUGGUCUGUGGGUUGUUCAUGGCAGCAUUCUUCCCCCCCGCAGACCCUCCACACUUCUCUCAGUGCAGGUAUUUGUGGACCGCUCACAGUGCUCACCCAAAGCAGGCUUUGGGAAGCGUGUUUCAAUGGAACAGACUUUGCCUUUCUAGGCAGAAAACUGCCAUCAUUUGGGAAUUUUUUUUUCCUCCAUAGUUUUCUUUCUCAUUAAUAUAGAGGCUAACAAUAAAGCCAAAGUAUUCUCUGUGUCCUAUAGGAGACCCCUCUGAUUCCAGAUCUCCCUCUCCCUUCCUGUCACGAGAGCGCCACUCAGUGGCCCCUGGGUGACUGGUAAGGCCGUUCCUGCCCUGCCUGUCCAUAAAGGCACAACUCAAUCCUUGAAGUCGUGACAUCGAGAUAUUGUAUAUGAAGAUGCCUGUAACCCACAUCAUUCACUCUUGUUGCAUGAAUAAUUCAGCAUAUAUUUAAUUAGUGCUGGUCCUGACAGGAGAACUAAGGAAGUGCAUUACCCCAACCAGCAUUGACAUGAAGAAGAAUUACUGGAAAUUACUUUCACACAUGAAACUGAGAAUCAGAAUUUGGAAUUUGCUGGUCACGCAUCUUGUGGGCUACUUCAUCCUAAAACUGUCAUCCAACCCGACAGCUUUCCAGUUGUUGGAAGAAUGGUUAUUAUGGCCUUCUUGGUGGAUUUGAGUUCCACAAAUGUGAUCAACAGAACAGUUGAUUAUUGAGAAGGCAGAUUAGCCACUUCUUAAUUAAGCACAAAACAGAUCAGUAUGAGCUUGAACACCUUGGUCAAAGAAACAGACUAGUAAAAAUCGAAGUAUGGGAUAAUCAGGACCAAAGGUGAAGACCACAUUUUAAAGGCAUAAAAACACCAAAGCAAAUACCAACAACUUAAAAAAUAUAAAAAGAAGUUGUUUGAACUUCAGGAUAUUAAAAAUCAA